rnacentral:tRNA from 1 species
GCGUUUGUAGUACCAACGGUUAGGAUAAUUGCCUUCCAAGCAAUAGACCUCUGGUUCGAACUCCCGGCAAACGCA